rnacentral:rRNA from 1 species
UCCGUAGGCGGGCAGCUAAGUCAGUGGUGAAAGUCUGUAGCUCAACUGUAGAAUUGCCAUUGAUACUGGUUGUCUUGAAUUAUUAUGAAGUGGUUAGAAUAUGUAGUGUAGCGGUGAAAUGCAUAGAUAUUACAUAGAAUACCAAUUGCGAAGGCAGAUCACUAAUAAUAUAUUGACGCUGAUGGACGAAAGCGUGGGGAGCGAACAGGAUUAGAUACCCUGGUAGUCC